rnacentral:rRNA from 1 species
AGCAGCCGCGGUAAUUCCAGCUCCAAUAGCGUAUAUUAAAGUUGUUGCAGUUAAAAAGCUCGUAGUUGAAUUUCGGGGUUAGCAAGUUGGUCGUGCCUUUGGUAUGCACUGGCUUUGCUGAUUCCUCCUUCUUGAAGAACUGUGAUGCUAUUAAUUUGGUGUUGCAGGGAAACAGGACUGUUACUUUGAAAAAUUAGAGUGUUUAAAGCAGGCUAACGCUUGAAUACAUUAGCAUGGAAUAAUGAAAUAGGACGUUUGAUCCUAAUUUUGUUGGUUUCUAGGAUUGACGUAAUGAUUAAUAGGGAUAGUUGGGGGCAUUAGUAUUCAAUUGUCAGAGGUGAAAUUCUUGGAUUUAUUGAAGACUAACUACUGCGAAAGCAUUUGCCAAGGAUGUUUCAUUAAUCAAGAACGAAAGUUAGGGGAUCGAAGA